AGUCUCCUCCAUCUGUGGAGGGAGAUGAGCCUGGUUGCUGGGGAGCAUCCCAGAGUACCUGAGGUGGAGUAGGGCUGGGGGAAGGCCAGAGGAGUUGGGGAGCUCCGGCCUGGAAACCUACCAGGCUGCAGGCCUAGUGGAAGGCCAAAAAGAGUACUGAGGUUGUAGGUGGCAGCCCACAGAAGGGUCUAGCCAAUCCCAGGCAUCCAUCUCCAGUGCACAUGAUGCAGGGGAGGAGAGAUCUGAUAUGGCCUUCAGGGGAACCCCCUACACACCAGUGAAGUACCUCCGCCAGAUAAGGAAGUGACCAAGGAGGACAUGUUUUGAGGCACCUCUGAGCCAGCCUCAGACUCAGUGAAUGGAGAGAGAAUGUCCAGGAGACUACUGUGUCUGAGCCAAAGGCUGCAGAUUCUGAAGGACAAACAAUAGAGAACCAGGGCUGCCCUGCUGCUGGUGGUGCAUAAGGACCACUCCAGGAAAGCAGAUCAGCACCAUGAAAUAGAACUACAGACAUCAGGAGGAGGACAUAGGGAUGACUGAAAAGCAAAGACAGGAGCACCUCAGACUGAAGGAGAAGCAAACCUGUGAUGAAACAGAGAUGCUGGCAGAAUAUCUUCACCCUGAUCAGGAGAUGUGGGAGCGAGACAUGGCAUUUGAGAGGGUCAUGGCUGAGAGACUUUGGGGGAUCAUGACUCCUGAUGGUUGAUACCUGUCCAAGCCAUCUACCUACCCAUGCCCAGUUCCGUCACUUCACCUCCACAUCACCGUGUCCUGCAAUCUAAGGAAAACACCGGUUUUGGAGUAUGUGAAAUCAGCCAGCAAACCAUGGAACUGCACACCAGUAGCAGUAUCCACUGCAGCCUAUCCCCAUUCCCAUGCCGAGGAAAGAGAACAGAAGCUCUGCAGUUCCAUGACACGUAACACUAUACACCAUUAUUUUCAGUUCAUUUUUCUCUGAUGUUUAGAAUGUUUUUAUCCUGCCUAGCAUUUGUUGCUGUUUUGCACACCUUUCCCAACUAAGUUGACCUUCAAAAAAAAAAAGUUUGAUCUGGAGUUACAAUGAAUAACCACAAUGAACAGAAAUAUUUGUUUCUCACAAAAAUCAUAUAAGACUACAUUUCAUUUCACUCCCUGCCCCCAAGUGCAGUGCCAGUCCCGUUAAUCUGUCUCAAUGUACUGCCCAUUCAUCUUGAGAACAUGGGAACACAAGGCAUCCCUUAUAGCCAUUGCCAUAACAGACUCUGUGCCAGCCUCAAGACAUACACUAGGUGAUUAUCUGUAGGCAGGCCCCCAAACCUUCUGUGUCCUCAAUCCAUUCUGCCCCCACAUAUUCCCUUUUAUCCUCAUAGACAUUGUGAAGCACACAACAUGCCCUAGUCGCAUGGAUGGCAUUAUACAUGCUACAGCCUGUCCAAUCAAGUUUGCAAGCAGUGCUGUUAGCAUACUGCUGCCUGCCAGGUUGCCAGAAAUCAGGAUAAGUAGAAGGCAGGUUGUGUUGGCUAAGAUCUCAGUGAACAUGGUCACCCCACUGUGUCUCUAAGAAGGAAUAAAGUACCAGUGUUCCCAUGCUGCUACAGACCAGACCUCCAAAACACACCGGCAUCGCACUGUCAAUGCAUCCUAUAUAGGCAUCCAUGAAUGUGCCAUGGUGGUGCACAAAGGCCUGCAUAAUCAUGGAAUUGUAUCCAUUCCUGUUAGUGUACUCACUUGCUUAAAUCAUGGGCCUUAUCCACAGAGUUCAGGAACCCCAUCCUUUCAACCCCUGUGACCUUUAAGUAAGAAGCCUGUGAGG